rnacentral:rRNA from 1 species
UACGGGGGGGGCAAGCGUUGUUCGGAAUUACUGGGCGUAAAGGGCGCGUAGGCGGCCUUCUAAGUCGGACGUGAAAUCCCUCGGCUUAACCGAGGAACUGCGUCCGAUACUGAAAGGCUUGAAUCCGGGAGAGGGAUGUGGAAUUCCAGGUGUAGCGGUGAAAUGCGUAGAUAUCUGGAGGAACACCGGUGGCGAAGGCGGCAUCCUGGACCGGUAUUGACGCUGAUGCGCGAAAGCCAGGGGAGCAAACGGG